UACGAAGGGGGCUAGCGUUGCUCGGAUUGACUGGGCGUAAAGGGCGCGUAGGCGGUUCGUACAGUCAGACGUGAAAUUCCUGGGCUCAACCUGGGGGCUGCGUUUGAUACGUGCGGGCUUGAGUGCGGAAGAGGGUCGUGGAAUUCCCAGUGUAGAGGUGAAAUUCGUAGAUAUUGGGAAGAACACCGGUGGCGAAGGCGGCGACCUGGUCCGAUACUGACGCUGAGGCGCGAAAGCCAGGGGAGCGAACGGG
rnacentral:rRNA from 1 species